rnacentral:rRNA from 1 species
AACUCUAAGAAGACUGCCGGUGAUAAACCGGAGGAAGGUGGGGAUGACGUCAAGUCAGCAUGCCCCUUACGUCCUGGGCGACACACGUACUACAAUGGGUAAGACAAAGGGUAGCCAAGUCGCGAGGCCGAGCCAAUCCCAUAAACUUAUCCUCAGUUCAGAUUGCAGGCUGCAACUCGCCUGCAUGAAGGAGGAAUCGCUAGUAAUCGCAGGUCAGCAUACUGCGGUGAAUCCGUUCCCGGGCCUU